GAAAGUUAGGAUCGUGUUCUGUUGGUAACGUCAGUCUGCAAGGUACAACAUUUUCUAUUUGCAUCUGUUUGUGAGAAGACAUUUGGCAGUUCUGUUUUUCACAUCUGCAUUUCUCUUCAGAAGGUGGGGAACUAAAAGGCCAACAAGGUGAGUGAGAUAGAAGAUGGUCUGCUGGAGCCCUGCUGUAUCGGCCAGAACUUUCUAUGGAUUCUAUCCUUCAUUCCACCGGAGUCUGUGUCUUUAUCCAACCAGAUUUCUGUGAAGUGAAGUGUAAGAGACAUGGAGCUCGAGCUUUGCAACCUAACUGAGCAAUGGAGUCCAUUUCCAAAGUGUUGUUGCAAGCAAUGCUUAGUAAUUUGUCUAAUAAUUUACACCAAACAAUAUCAAUAGAAAAUCUGUAUUCUGUAUAGUUGAUAUUGCCCUGGAAGGAAUGUCAUCACACUUUACAACUGCUGAUGUAAAAGAGGCUUUAUAAAUACAUUUGAUUGAUUGAUUGCUAAUUUCAAAUUCAUCAUAAAAUCAAAUGUGAAAAUGUAAAUGUUUUGUAAUCUGAUUAAAAUUCUUAUUUAA